rnacentral:rRNA from 1 species
GACGAACGCUGGCGGCGUGCUUAACACAUGCAAGUCGAACGGAAAGGCCCUGCUUUUGUGGGGUGCUCGAGUGGCGAACGGGUGAGUAACCCGUGAGUAACCUGCCCUUGACUUUGGGAUAACUUCAGGAAACUGGGGCUAAUACCGGAUAGGAGCUCCUGCUGCAUGGUGGGGGUUGGAAAGUUUCGGCGGUUGGGGAUGGACUCGCGGCUUAUCAGCUUGUUGGUGGGGUAGUGGCUUACCAAGGCUUUGACGGGUAGCCGGCCUGAGAGGGUGACCGGCCACAUUGGGGCUGAGGUACGGCCCAGACUCCUACGGGGGGCAGCAGUGGGGAAUAUUGCACAAUGGGCGGAAGCCUGAUGCAGCAACGCCGCGUGCGGGAUGACGGCCUUCGGGUUGUAAACCGCUUUCGCCUGUGACGAAGCGUGAGUGACGGUAAUGGGUAAAGAAGCACCGGCUAACUACGUG